AGAAUCAACGCUGGCGGCGUGCCUCAGACAUGCAAGUCGAACGCGAAAGUUUCCUUCGGGAGGCGAGUAGAGUGGCGCACGGGUGAGUAACACGUAGGUAAUCUACCUUUGGAUGGGGGAAUAACAACCGGAAACGGUUGCUAAUACCGCAUAAUGCAGCGGCACCUAAUGGUGACAGUUGUUAAAGCGGGGGAUCGAAAGACCUCGCGUCUGAAGAGGAGCCUGCGGCGGAUUAGCUAGUUGGUAAGGUAACGGCUCACCAAGGCGACGAUCAGUA
rnacentral:rRNA from 1 species